rnacentral:rRNA from 1 species
UACAGAGGGGGCAAGCGUUAUUCGGAAUUAUUGGGCGAAAGGGCGCGUAGGCGGCGUGACAAGUCACUUGUGAAAUCUCUGGGCUUAACCCAGAACGGCCAAGUGAAACUGUUGUGCUAGAGUGCAGAAGGGGCAAUCGGAAUUCUCGGUGUAGCGGUGAAAUGCGUAGAUAUCGAGAGGAACACCAGAGGUGAAGACGGGGUUGCUGGGCUGACACUGACGCUGAUGCGCGAAAGCCAGGGGAGCAAA